rnacentral:rRNA from 1 species
GAUGAACGCUGGCGGCGUGCCUAAUACAUGCAAGUCGAGCGAACAGACGAGGAGCUUGCUCCUCUGACGUUGGCGGCGGACGGGUGAGUAACACGUGGAUAACCUACCUAUAAGACUGGGAUAACUUCGGGAAACCGGAGCUAAUACCGGAUAAUAUAUUGAACCGCAUGGUUCAAUAGUGAAAGACGGUUUUGCUGUCACUUAUAGAUGGAUCCGCGCCGCAUUAGCUAGUUGGUAAGGUAACGGCUUACCAAGGCAACGAUGCGUAGCCGACCUGAGAGGGUGAUCGGCCACACUGGAACUGAGACACGGUCCAGACUCCUACGGGAGGCAGCAGUAGGGAAUCUUCCGCAAUGGGCGAAAGCCUGACGGAGCAACGCCGCGUGAGUGAUGAAGGUCUUCGGAUCGUAAAACUCUGUUAUUAGGGAAGAACAAAUGUGUAAGUAACUAUGCACGUCUUGACGGUACCUAAUCAGAAGGCCACGGCUAACUACGUG